GGUUGAGUAGCUCAGUCUGUGGAGCAUGAGACUUUUAAUUCCAGGGUUGUGGGUUUGAGCCCCAUGUUGGGUG